AACGAACGCUGGCGGCAUGCCUAACACAUGCAAGUCGAACGAGACCUUCGGGUCUAGUGGCGCACGGGUGCGUAACGCGUGGGAAUCUGCCCUUGGGUUCGGAAUAACAGUUAGAAAUGACUGCUAAUACCGGAUGAUGACGUAAGUCCAAAGAUUUAUCGCCCAAGGAUGAGCCCGCGUAGGAUUAGCUUGUUGGUGAGGUAAAAGCUCACCAAGGCGACGAUCCUUAGCUGGUCUGAGAGGAUGAUCAGCCACACUGGGACUGAGACACGGCCCAGACUCCUACGGGAGGCAGCAGUGGGGAAUAUUGGACAAUGGGCGAAAGCCUGAUCCAGCAAUGCCGCGUGAGUGAUGAAGGCCUUAGGGUUGUAAAGCUCUUUUACCCGGGAUGAUAAUGACAGUACCGGGAGAAUAAGCCCCGGCUAACUCCGUGCCAGCCGCCGCCGUAAGAC
rnacentral:rRNA from 1 species